UUUGUCUUUCUCUCUCUCUCUCUCUCUUUUUUUUUUUUUUUUUGCUUUACAGACCUAACGAUGCCCAGAAAUGAGCUUGGCACCUUCCUGGCAGUGAGCAAGACUCCUAAAGCUAUUUGAAUGCCUAAAGAUUUUUUUGGAAAACUCUGGGAGGUGUCUGACUCCCCCAGGUGUCUGUGGCAGUUAAGAUCUGCUAAUAUAGUUUCAGGUUUCCUUAAAUGCGCUUUUUGA
rnacentral:lncRNA from 1 species